rnacentral:sRNA from 1 species
GCCCUCAGCCGAGGACGUCUAUGACUGCCAGAGCUCCAGGUGCCUAUUCCACCACCAGAUGCCAUGGAGACCCUGGUCUGUGCCCUGGGCCUGGCCAUCGGCCUGGUGGGCUUCCUCGUGGGCACCGUCCUCAUCAUCAUGGGCACAUAUGUGUCCAGUGUCCCCAGGUAAUGAUCCUUCUGAGAGAAAUGACUUGUGGGAGACACCCUGCAGAUCCUCAUGGGUUUGUGACAGCCCCUGCGUGCUCAGUGCCCUUUAAGUGCAUCCCGCUGUGCUGACUUUGAGUGGGAUCAACAUCUGUCCUACGGGUCCCCUCUUUUUUGGCCCCAGUAUUCAUGGCAGGGUUUGUUGGACACCUACUAGCUUCCCUUCCCAUUCAACACAAACACACAUUCUUGCUCU